GACGAACGCUGGCGGCGUGCUUAACACAUGCAAGUCGAACGGUAAGGCCCUUCGGGGUACACGAGUGGCGAACGGGUGAGUAACACGUGGGUGAUCUGCCCUGCACUUCGGGAUAAGCCUGGGAAACUGGGUCUAAUACCGGAUAGGACCAUUGCCUGCAUGGGUGGUGGUGGAAAGCUUUUGCGGUGUGGGAUGGGCCCGCGGCCUAUCAGCUUGUUGGUGGGGUGAUGGCCUACCAAGGCGACGACGGGUAGCCGGCCUGAGAGGGUGACCGGCCACACUGGGACUGAGAUACGGCCCAGACUCCUACGGGAGGCAGCAGUGGGGAAUAUUGCACAAUGGGCGCAAGCCUGAUGCAGCGACGCCGCGUGGGGGAUGACGGCCUUCGGGUUGUAAACCUCUUUCAGUAGGGACGAAGCGCAAGUGACGGUACCUACAGAAGAAGGACCGGCCAACUACGUGCCAGCCGCCGCAGUAA
rnacentral:rRNA from 1 species